rnacentral:lncRNA from 1 species
GUCGAUACAGUUACGCAAAUUAGAUGCGUAACCGUCUGGAAAUUCCACAUCGUUUGAAAUCCAAUCAAAAAACGCAUCCUUUCCCGCUGCAUCAAGUCGGUAUAUGGGAAAAGGAGCCCUACCACUCUCAUCAACAUGAAGUUCUGAACGAGCACAUAUAUCGACUAAAUCCAGUCUUGACUUCAAAUUAUCCUUUGUUUUACCUUGAACAUUAAGGAUCGUGUUCAUGAGAUUGUCAAAAAAGUUCUUCUCAAUAUGCAUGACAUCUAAAUUAUGCCUUAGUAGAUGAUCCUCCCAGUAUGGCAUAUCCCAAAAAAUACUUUUUUUUGUGCCAGUUAUGUAGGUUUCCAACACCAUCUACC